rnacentral:rRNA from 1 species
CCUGGCUCAGAGUGAACGCUGGCGGCAUGCCUAACACAUGCAAGUCGAACGGUAACAGGCCCGCAAGGGUGCUGACGAGUGGCGGACGGGUGAGGAAUACAUCGGAAUCUGCCCGGUUGUGGGGGAUAACGUAGGGAAACUUACGCUAAUACCGCAUACGACCGAGAGGUGAAAGCGGGGGAUCGCAAGACCUCGCGCGAUCGGAUGAGCCGAUGUCGGAUUAGCUAGUUGGCGGGGUAAAGGCCCACCAAGGCGACGAUCCGUAGCUGGUCUGAGAGGAUGAUCAGCCACACUGGGACUGAGACACGGCCCAGACUCCUACGGGAGGCAGCAGUGGGGAAUAUUGGACAAUGGGGGCAACCCUGAUCCAGCAAUGCCGCGUGUGUGAAGAAGGCCUUCGGGUUGUAAAGCACUUUUAUCCGGAACGAAACGCACUGGGUGAAUAUCCCGGUGAACUGACGGUACCGGAGGAAUAAGCACCGGCUAACUACGUGCCAGCAGCCGCGGUAAUACGAAGGGUGCAAGCGUUACUCGGAAUUACUGGGCGUAAAGCGUGCGUAGGUGGUUUUUUAAGUCUGCUGUGAAAGCCCCGGGCUCAACCUGGGAAUGGCAGUGGAUACUGGAAGGCUAGAGUGCGGUAGAGGGUAGUGGAAUUCCCGGUGUAGCGGUGAAAUGCGUAGAGAUCGGGAGGAACACCAGUGGCGAAGGCGGCUACCUGGACCAGCACUGACACUGAGGCACGAAAGCGUGGGGAGCAA